AAGUGCUGGGCCUUGUAAGCCAGGCGUCCUUUCGACGGGCGUGUUGAGGAGUCGUCCGGGAAACGGGCGUCCCUUGAAGUGCGAACCCCCCCCCCCCCCCCCCCCCCCCCCCCCCCC
rnacentral:misc_RNA from 1 species